GUCGAGCGGAACGAGUUAUCUGAACCUUCGGGGAACGAUAACGGCGUCGAGCGGCGGACGGGUGAGUAAUGCCUAGGAAAUUGCCUUGAUGUGGGGGAUAACCAUUGGAAACGAUGGCUAAUACCGCAUAAUGCCUACGGGCCAAAGAGGGGGACCUUCGGGCCUCUCGCGUCAAGAUAUGCCUAGGUGGGAUUAGCUAGUUGGUGAGGUAAUGGCUCACCAAGGCGACGAUCCCUAGCUGGUCUGAGAGGAUGAUCAGCCACACUGGAACUGAGACACGGUCCAGACUCCUACGGGAGGCAGCAGUGGGGAAUAUUGCACAAUGGGCGAAAGCCUGAUGCAGCCAUGCCGCGUGUAUGAAGAAGGCCUUCGGGUUGUAAAGUACUUUCAGUUGUGAGGAAGGGGGUGUCGUUAAUAGCGGCAUCUCUUGACGUUAGCAACAGAAGAAGCACCGGCUAACUCCGUGCCAGCAGCCGCGGUAAUACGGAGGGUGCGAGCGUUAAUCGGAAUUACUGGGCGUAAAGCGCAUGCAGGUGGUUCAUUAAGUCAGAUGUGAAAGCCCGGGGCUCAACCUCGGAACUGCAUUUGAAACUGGUGAACUAGAGUACUGUAGAGGGGGGGUAGAAUUAUC
rnacentral:rRNA from 1 species